ACCAGCAGAAGUGGUACUAAAUGAAGAGCUAUUUAGGAGCUGAAAGAGCCAGCUUGCAGAAAGGAACAGAGCCAUGAGAUCCGGCUCCCUUCAAAGAAAGGUAAUGCUGGAAGAAUAGCUUCGCCGCGCUUGUCUUCAGAUAGAGAAGCAUCCAGGCAGACAGAAACAAAAGAUCCUCAACUCCUGCGGUAACUCAGUCACUACGGAUAGAGACUGGCUCUUUGUGGAGGAGUCAAAGAAAGGGACUCAGUGGAACCACCCUCAAGGAUCCCUGGAACUCUAUUAAGGACCCUUUGAAGUCCACACUCCCAACUCCAGGAAACAGUGUGGGAGGAAACAAAGUGUUAACCAGCUGCCAGGGAGGCCUGUCUCACUGCUUGCCUCUCCUAACUCUGACAAGUCCGGACUUCUCAAGCCAGUUCCUCUCUAUAUGAUGGACGCUGUCUAACAGUUGGCCAUUUCCACUUCCUUGCAGACUUUCCCCGUCCCUCCCUCCGUUAGUUCUUUUCUUCC